rnacentral:lncRNA from 13 species
ACUGGAGUUAGUCAAGGUCAACCAGGGGUCAGCAAAGGUCAUCCAAGGUCAAGCAAGGGUUGAGGUCAACGGGGUUGGUCAAAGUCAAGCAAGGGUCAGCCAAGGGUCCACGGGAGUUGGCCAAGGUCAACCAGGGGUCAUCCAAGGUCACUCAAAGUCACCUCAGAUCUUCCAGGACCCACCCAAAGGUCACUCAAGGUCACCCACGAGUCCUCCAAGGCCUCCCAAGACCACCCAAGGUCCUGGAAGAUCCACCCAACGUCCCCUGAGACCGCCCCAAACCCUCCGGAGCCCCCUGAAGACCCCCGAGACCCAUCCAAGGUCCUUGAAGGGCCAAGCCAGGUCCUGGAAGAUCCACCCGGGGUCUUCGAAGGUUCCUCCAAGGAUCCUCCAGACCCUCCCCAGGUCCUGGAAGCUCCACCCCAAAAUGCUCCAGAACCUUCUCCAAGUCCUCCAAGGAUCACCCGAGGCCUCCCAAGACCCUCGCGAGGUCCUGGAAGGUUCUGGAAGGUCCCAGAAAGUCCUGGAAGGUUCUGGAAGGUCCCAGAAAGUCCUGGAAGGUUCUGGAAGGUCCCGGAAGGUCCUCACCCGGUAUUCCUUGAUCUCCUCCUGCAGGAUCUGGUCGGCGUCGGCGUAAACCUCGACCUUGCGCUGCUUCUCCAGCUUCCGGCGCAGCCGCGACAGCUCCUCCUGUCGCGACAGAGGCGGCGGCGAUACGUCGCGAUAUGUCGCGGUAGAGAACCCCAAAACACCCCAAAAUUUCCCAAAAAAUUCCUAAAAAUCCUUAAAAAUCUUCCACGGAUUCUCCAGGGUCGGAAAGAGCCCCGACAGCUCCUCCUGUCACGACAGAGACGGCAGCGAUAUGUCGCGAUAGAGAGUCCCCAAAAAAACCCCAAAAUUUCCCAAAAAAUUCCUAAAAAUCCUUAAAAAUCUUCCAUGGAUUCUCCAGGGUCGGAAAGAGCCCCGACAGCUCCUCCUGUUGCGACAGACGUGGCGAUAUACCACGAUAUGUCCUGAUACGUCGCGAUACAGAGCCCCAAAAAACCCCCCAAAAUUCCUAAAAAAUUCCUAAAAGUCCCUAAAAAUCUUCCAUGGAUUCUCCAGAGUUAAAUAGAGCCCCAACACCUCCUCCUGUCGCGACAGAGGCGGCCAUACGUCGCGAUAUGUCGCGAUAGAGAGCCCCAAAAAACCCCCCGAAAUUCCUAAAAAUUCCUAAAAAUCCUUAAAAAUCUUCCACGGAUUCUCCAGGGUUGGAUGGAGCCCCGACAGCUCCUCCUGUCGCGACAGAGGCGGCGGCGAUACGUCGCGAUAUGUCGCGAUAGAGAGCUC